AUUGAACGCUGGCGGCAGGCCUAACACAUGCAAGUCGAGCGGGGGUAGCAAUACCCUAGCGGCGAACGGGUGAGGAAUGCUUGGGAAUCUGCCUGGUAGUGGGGGAUAACGUUCCGAAAGGAACGCUAAUACCGCAUACGUCCUACGGGAGAAAGGGGGGGAUCUUCGGACCUCUCGCUAUCAGAUGAGCCCAAGCGGGAUUAGCUAGUUGGUGGGGUAAAGGCCCACCAAGGCGACGAUCCCUAGCUGGUCUGAGAGGAUGAUCAGCCACACUGGAACUGAGACACGGUCCGGACUCCUACGGGAGGCAGCAGUGGGGAAUAUUGGACAAUGGGCGAAAGCCUGAUCCAGCCAUGCCGCGUGUGUGAAGAGGGCCUUCGGGUUGUAAAGCACUUUAAGCGAGGAGGAAGGUUCGUUACUUAAUACGUAACGGAAUUGACGUUACUCGCAGAAUAAGCACCGGCUAACUCUGUGCCAGCCGCCGCCGUAA
rnacentral:rRNA from 1 species